rnacentral:rRNA from 1 species
UGGGGAAUUUUGGACAAUGGGCGAAAGCCUGAUCCAGCAAUGCCGCGUGCAGGAAGAAGGCCUUCGGGUUGUAAACUGCUUUUGUACGGAACGAAACGGUCUGCCCUAAUACGGCGGGCUAAUGACGGUACCGUAAGAAUAAGCACCGGCUAACUACGUGCCAGCAGCCGCGGUAAUACGUAGGGUGCGAGCGUUAAUCGGAAUUACUGGGCGUAAAGCGUGCGCAGGCGGUUAUGUAAGACAGUUGUGAAAUCCCCGGGCUCAACCUGGGAAUUGCAUCUGUGACUGCAUAGCUAGAGUACGGUAGAGGGGGAUGGAAUUCCGCGUGUAGCAGUGAAAUGCGUAGAUAUGCGGAGGAACACCGAUGGCGAAGGCAAUCCCCUGGACCUGUACUGACGCUCAUGCACGAAAGCGUGGGGAGCAAACAG